CAGAAACCAUUUUCCCCGCCUACAAUUACCGCCAAAAAAAAAAUCCGACCCUCGCACGAAAACGUCACGCCAGUCCCCUCAAUAAACGCAUUUUUAUUUCCACGUCCGCCAUUAAUGUAUCCGCACGGGGAAAAUAUAGAAUAAAUAGUUUUUUUGGUGGCGGCUUUUUUUUUUUCUUCCCCCGAACAGACGGGCGGAGAAGUCUUUCCCUCAGCAGUCAUAGCAGCAGCAGCCGCCCCUGUGUAGUCGCCAUGUGUAAGAUGGCCGCCAUGCAGGAGGAGGCGGUGGCGGCGGAGGAGAGCUGAGCUGGCGGCGGGAGCAGAAAUGAAUCAUGAACCUAACUUGAUACUACUGUACUACAGCAUCACAUCACAUGCUCAAGAGAAGUAACUUUUAAGGCGCUGUUUGGAACGCAGAAGACCUUACCGACAGGUGGAUUGACACUUGAAGUUUCUAACAAACUCUAUAGCACUAUGGCAAGUAAACGGAAAACAAAAACUCCUUGCAUGGUCCUUGCAAGCGAGCACGAUACCGAUCUAGGAGUCAACUCUGAUGGAGAGGAAAGUCCACCUUUGCCUACUCCUGCGGAGCAACCCGUGCCAGAGAGCGCAGUGCCUGAGAGCAUAUCAAGCGAAGACGAUGCACUAGAACCCAAUGAUUCUGACAAUCAGCAGAAUAAAGCUGUAGAAGGUGGUUACGAAUGUAAAUACUGUUCAUUUCAGACAACUGACUUAAAUAUGUUUACCUUUCAUGUGGAUUCUGAGCAUCCCAACGUUGUAUUAAAUUCUUCCUAUUUCUGUGUGGAGUGUAAUUUUCUCACGAAACGUUACGAUUCACUUUCUGAGCACAACACAAAGUAUCAUCCCGGAGAGGAGAACUUUAAGUUGACUAUGGUUAAGCGCAAUAAUCAGUCAAUAUUUGAACAGACCGUUAAUGAUCUAACAUUCGAUGGGAGCUUCGUCCAAGAAGAAAACCAGGAACAAUCAGAGUCAAACUCAUCUGCGAUAUCCAUCAGUAAAACCCCAAUAAUGAAAAUAAUGAAGGAUAAGUCAGAGAAGAAACGAAUCAGUGUACAGCAAAAUUCCUCCGAAGAUGGCACGGAAGAAAACGACUUGAUAACAGAGAAUGAGCCUAAGCCAAAAUCACAGGAUACCAGAGAGUCAAAGCCAACUGUGGUCGCUCCUGAGCCUGUGAAAACUAGCGUUACGAUUGUGACAAGUGCCCAAGAAUUACCAAGUACUGUUCUUACUCCUGCGAAUGUUCUUCAACCAGGAGUGGCACAAAUGAUUACGACUGUACAGACGCAGCAAAACAUCCUCUCGAAAGUCCUUAUCCCCAUCAAUAGCAUUCCUACAUACAAUGCUGCAUUAGACAGCAACCCUCUUUUGCUGAGUAACUACAAUAAGUUUCCAUACCCAACAGUUUCUGAGAUCACCCUUCUCGCUUCACAAUCUAAAUGCACAGAAGAACAAAUAAAAAUCUGGUUUUCUGCACAACGACUAAAGCAUGGUGUUAGCUGGACACCCGAAGAAGUAGAGGACGCUCGGCGAAAGCAAUUUAAUGGCACUGUACACACGGUCCCACAGACAAUAACUGUUUUCCCAGCUCAGAUUUCUUCCGCUGCCAAUGGCUUGCCUUCCAUUUUACAGACGUGCCAAAUAGUUGGCCAGCCUAGCCUCGUACUUGCGCAAGUUGGAGGAACGGGCACAAUACCAGUGACAACACCAAUAACAUUGACAGUGGCUGGUGUCCCAACUAACGCCCAACUCCACGCAAGCCACCUUCACCAAAUGCAAGCAGUGUCUGAAACAAAGAGGGUUGCUGCCAUUCCCAGUGCGCAGCUACCCAAGCAGGAGCCUACCAUGAUAACAGAUCUGUUUGGUAUGCGCUCCAAGAAAACGAAAGAGCAGUUGACAGCCCUCAAAAUUAGCUAUCUAAAGAACCCGUUUCCAAAUAAUAGCGAAAUUGACCGUUUAAUACGUUUCACAGGAUUGACUAAAGGUGAAAUCAAGAAAUGGUUUAGCGAUACAAGAUACAACCAAAGAAAUUCUAAGGGGAGCCAUGGCAUCCAUUUCCCAAGUGAUCCUAGUGGAACUAUAAUUAUUGAUUCUAGCGAUGAAACCACUGAAUCCCCGACUCCACCGGUAGUCUUGACUUCACAUCGUAGGCAAAACUGGAACGCCUUCCCAGAUUUCACCCCACAGAGAUUCAAAGAAAAGACAGUGGAACAGCUACAGAUUCUUGAGGAAAGCUUCCUUCGAAACGACGUACCUACAGAUGAGGAAUUGAACCGGUUAAGGGUUCUUAGCAAACUGACAAGACGAGAAAUCGACGCUUGGUUCGCAGAAAGGAGGAGGACAGGUGGCAUAAAGGAUGAACCUGUACUUUUUGAUGAGGAGGAAGGAAUUAAAGAAGAAAUGGACCCUGAAAAUGCUUAUGUAAAAGCUGGGGCAGCUCUUGCUAGUAAACUAGGGAAAAAGACCCCAGAGCAGCUGCUUAUGCUUAAGACAUUCUUUGUUCGUAACCAGUGGCCUACAGGAGACGACUACGAUAAGCUGUCGGAGGAGACUGGUCUUGCAAGAAGUGAUGUUGUUGGGUGGUUUGGAGACACCAGGUAUGCUGUUAAAAAUCAUCAUUUGAAGUGGUUCUACCGAUAUCAAGUAAACGGCAGCCUCUCCCCUAAUGCUGUUAAUGGACAGGGCUUUGUACGCAAGAGAGGGCGAGGCAGGCCUAGGGGUAGAGGAAGAGGGAGACCCAGAGGGCGCCCUAAAGGAUCCCGAAGAGCAAAUAGCUGGGAAAGGGCGCCAGCUCCAGUAAAACACAAGACUGGAAAAGCGGUACUUAAAGACUACUACUUAAUGCACAAAUUUCUUAAUGAGGAAGACUUGGAUGAAUUGGUUACAAAAUCUCAGCUGGGUUAUGAGCAGGUGAGGGAAUGGUUUGCAGAACGCCUUCAAAGAGAGGAUGCUGGUUUGGAUCCAUUUGAAAUUGAGGAGGAAGAUGAUCUUCUGGAUGAUCCGGAUGAGGAGGAAGAAAUUGACACUGAUGAGAGUGAUAACUGGGAACCACCGAAACAUCUUAAACGGAGACUUUCAAAAAUGGAAGACUGAAAUGAAGGAAAGUGACAUCAACGGAGGCGAGAACAGUGUUGCAGUGUCCAGUUUACUGUGAAAUACACGGAGAUCCUCUCUCAUAAAAAAAAUAAAAAACACAGAGCGGGGUGGAAGAGGGGUGGAAGAGCGGCGGCGAGCUCUGCCGGAGUGCAGUAGUCAAUCUGCAUGCUGUGCCAAAGUAGCCACACUGCAGAUAGAGGACUUUACUGUAAAUACAGAAUACAUGAUGUGGGCAGCACAUAACCUGUACAAGAAGAUUUUAAUACAUUUUUACUGACUUGUAUUUUUGUUUCUUCACCCCUUUUUUCCCUUUGUAGACUUAAUUUUGUGAUUGAGCAGGAGGGCUGUAAGAUAGACAACACAGUGACCACUAGAUAUUUUUAUUUUAUUUUUUACUUUUUGCAUCAUAUGUAAAACAUAACCAUGUGCUAAUUGAAGAGGCUUGUUUUUAUUUUUAUUUUAUUUUUUUUCCCUUGAGAUGUAAAAAGCUUUGAGUGACCAAACUUUUUAUUUUUUAUUUUGCCGGAUGAGAGGACUACACCGCAUUAAUCAGCAUCAAUCGAUUUAUUCCAUGAUUCCUAUUUGCACCUUUAAAUUAAUGAUUUUUGCUCCCCACACUGGUUAGAUCUCAUGAUACUGUACAAUCUCUACUUACCGUACACAUCACGAAAGUAGUGCAAAUGAUGAAAGUUUUUUUUGUUUUGUUUUUUUAGGUUUUCAAGUGAGAAACUAGAUUUUGGUGUUCUCCUUUGUAUCUUAUUGCUGUCUGUGGGGUUGCCAAGUGUAAAUGUUUUGCAGGAAAACGAUUUUUAUAUUUUUCUUUCCCCCUAAAGUGGCUCUGUAUAUCGGCACGGCAAAAAAAAAAAAAAGACGUGCACCUGCCAAUAAAUGGUGUCUUACAUGUCAUCAAUAUCGGAUGAGUGGGGUUGGGCACUCACACCGAUCAGCUGUUGGCAGCCAAAAGUAACAGAGACAGAAAGAACAGCACACCUCCAUCCACUGUGUUCACUUUACAGAAUAUCCACACGGUGUGGGGGGGGAACAUCUCCAGUGAAAAUUGAUCUGCGGUAUGGAUUUAAAAGGGGUUGUUCACCCUUGGUGAGUAUUUCUUCAGAUUUCACCCCCCCCCCCCUCCCCCCACGUGGCUGGACCUGCAAUGGUAAUCAUACUUGCAUGAUCCCUGCCACUGCAGGUCGAUUUGUUUUAACUCUAUCCAGAGACCUGUCUGUGUAUAGGAUUUAAAAUAUAUUGCCUCCAUGGAGGCAAAAUUCAAUUCACCCAAAAACGUGGGAGACGUCAGUGAAUGAAAUCGGUGUUCAUUUCUGCAUCUUUAAAAACAUUAAAAAUUUGAAAUCUGAAGUCCUGGUUUGGUACCUCGGUACCAAACCUGACUUUUUUAAAGAUGCAGAAUUGAUUACAGUGACUUCAGCUGAAUUUUUUAUUUUUUUGCCUCCACGGAGACAAUACAUUUUAGUGCUGUACAGAGACGGCUCUCCAUACAGCAUUAAAACAAAGUGUUUGAACAAAUUGACUUUGGAUCUAUGAUGUAAAUCUCAAUUUGCUCAACACUAAUUACCACCACAGGUCCAGACAUGCUUGGGGGCUCUGAAGAAACACUCGCCAAGGGUGAACAGCUCCUUUAAAUCCACAACAUAGAUUAACGUUACUUCGCUUUUUUGGAGUUAAUUCCCCACAAACCUGCAGCAAAAUAUGCAAUAAAUCUGCAUGCAGAUUUUGCCAAGGAAUCGCAGCAGCAUCAAAACAAUCCACUCUGCGUGACCGUACCCUAAAUCCAAUUUAAUAAUGUUUAGCUGAAAGACUUAGUCGUAAGGUUAGCCGUCCACUGAUCUCAGAUCUCUGUAGGACUGAUGGGACAGUCCUAAAAUAUGUCCUGAACCCUCCUCAUAUAUUUCCCAUGCUGCGCUGACAUGACUAAUCCUGGAGGGAACGCAUGCCGACUAAAAGUACAUGUGUAGGUAUUGAACUAGUAAAAGCUGAAGAGCAUUGUGAAGCAUGAGAGAUAAGUGUUCCGAACGAUGGGCAGGAUUUCCAUCAGUUGGACCCAAUUGGUUUGUGUGCCAUAGACCCAAAAUUACCAUCAACAGUUAUAACAAUUGUAAUGUUUAGCAGAUCCGUCACUUCAGAUGCCACAAUGAACCUUUGGAAACAGAGUUUUAAAGGGUCGUCCAGUUUGGUCCUUUCCAUUUGCCUUAUUAGAGAAUAUAGAUGUCGUCAUAGCUGACAGGGCCCCUCCUCUAUGCAUUUGCUGUGUUAUACUUAAUGCAACCAUGUACCGGUAAUAAUUUAGUGGAUGCCAUGUAGUACUACUUCUUCCUUGCACUUUUCACGCAGAUCUUCUGCCCACCACAACAGCUAGUCGUCAGGCGUACAUAGGAGCUGAAGUGGGGCGGUUUCAUUCUAAGAAGCCGUUGCUGUAUUGGUAGGCUAGAUGCUUUCUACUUUGUUUUUCUGUAAUCCCAAAACUGCCUUUUAAUUCUGCUGGAACACUUCUUGGUUCUGUACACCUACUGUAGGUUUCCUAAACCACUGCUUUCUUUGAGGUUUUGCCAGUUUAUUUUGUUGAUGUUUCCUAGACAAACUAUUUUGUGGGGUGGAGGAUGAGCGGUUUCUGGUAUUGAUUUCUAAGUUGUACUACUGUACUGCAGAAUUGUAUUUCAUUAAACACCCCAUUUAGUGAGGUUGUGUUUUUCCCCUUUUUUCCACAGUUUCAAAGCCAUUUCAUUGUUUUGUCACAGUUUACGUCAGAGAAAAAUAAACCUAUAUACUUUGUUUAA